AUGGAUAUCCCCAUGACAAUUCACAAAAGCUUGAAUGGAAACUGAAAUCUGAUGGUGGAAACCAAACGUUGAAACCUUCAUCAGAUGGAAACAAAGAAAUGACUGAACAUAUAUGCCAGUACGUCGUAGGCAUCUAUCUAGCUUGCUGAGCAUUUGUUAGAGGUGCAAUACACAUAUACUUUCAAUCCAUACAAGACGAAGAAACGCCGAUUGGAAAAGCUGAUUCCAUUAAAGCAAAGAAUGGUGAUGUACCAAAGAAAGUGGCGUUCUGAUGAAUGUUAAAAAGUAUUCGAAGAACUAGACACCAAAAGUGCCACUCACAAAUCAAAGCUGUCUAAAAGGCAGAACAUCAGAAGAAUUAGGAUAAAUAAGGAAUCCAAAAGAGACAAACCUGAUGAUGUAGCGAUUGAACAGAAAUGGGCUAUUAGAGAUCAAAUAUCUGAGUUGCUACUGUUUUGCAUAAUUGUGUUGCUUUUUUUACUUAACUUGAAUUGACACAUUCAAAUGUUAUAUAAGAAAAAUAUACCUAGUGUUGUAUUUUU